rnacentral:rRNA from 1 species
AUGUUAAUCGGGGGGGAUUUUAAUAUCCUUCGAUAUCGACAGGAAAAAAACAAUGAUCGGUUUGACACUAGGUGGCCCUUCCUCUUUAAUGCUGUUAUUAACAGCCUCGAUCUGAGGGAGAUCACGAUGUCUGGUCGUCAGUAUACCUGGGCCAAACUUCGAAAAAUUGGACCGGGUGCUAGUUACUACUGA